rnacentral:lncRNA from 1 species
GUGGUUAAUGACUACGACCAUUCGUCAGCUGUGCGCUUUUAAUUACGUAUAUUGUCGAUAAGAUAUAAGAGUUAAACAGAUUUUAUUUUUUCCCAGAAUUCAAUAAAUCGGGCUAAUACGUCACGACCCACUCGAGAAUUCAACCAAAAAAGUUACAAAUACUUGAUUUUCUCUGUUAUUAGAAGGAAUAUAAAUUUAAAACUUUGCAAAUGUGUUUUUUAUGUUAAGAUGAACAUAAUUAGAUGAUAAGUAAAAAAUCGCGGAAUUUCCCUUUAAAUUUGACACUGUAAUUUCAGAGGAGAAGAUUUUUUAAAAGAUUACAAAAAGGAGUAGGUCCGGUAAGGGCUGAUUUUGGCCUCAAAAUUCAAGUUCAUCUGGCGAAAGAUUGGACACUUUUUAAACACUUAAGUAUCUAUUUCAGCUGAUUCAAUAAGUUUAUGUGAAACAUUUUAACUGAUUUAGUCAUUUAACACACUCUGAUUCAAGCUCAAAUAUGAAAAUUUUCAGAUGGUUUUUGUCAAAAAUGAAAGUGGCCGCAUCCGUG